GCGGCGUGCUAUACAUGCAAGUCGUACGCUUCUUUUUCCACCGGAGCUUGCUCCACCGGAAAAAGAAGAGUGGCGAACGGGUGAGUAACACGUGGGUAACCUGCCCAUCAGAAGGGGAUAACACUUGGAAACAGGUGCUAAUACCGUAUAACAAUCGAAACCGCAGGGUUUUGAUUUGAAAGGCGCUUUCGGGUGUCGCUGAUGGAUGGACCCGCGGUGCAUUAGCUAGUUGGUGAGGUAACGGCUCACCAAGGCCACGAUGCAUAGCCGACCUGAGAGGGUGAUCGGCCACAUUGGGACUGAGACACGGCCCAAACUCCUACGGGAGGCAGCAGUAGGGAAUCUUCGGCAAUGGACGAAAGUCUGACCGAGCAACGCCGCGUGAGUGAAGAAGGUUUUCGGAUCGUAAAACUCUGUUGUUAGAGAAGAACAAGGAUGAGAGUAACUGUUCAUCCCUUGACGGUAUCUAACCAGAAAGCCACGGCUAACUACGUGCCAGCAGCCGCGGUAAUACGUAGGUGGCAAGCGUUGUCCGGAUUUAUUGGGCGUAAAGCGAGCGCAGGCGGUUUCUUAAGUCUGAUGUGAAAGCCCCCGGCUCAACCGGGGAGGGUCAUUGGAAACUGGGAGACUUGAGUGCAGAAGAGGAGAGUGGAAUUCCAUGUGUAGCGGUGAAAUGCGUAGAUAUAUGGAGGAACACCAGUGGCGAAGGCGGCUCUCUGGUCUGUAACUGACGCUGAGGCUCGAAAGCGUGGGGAGCAAACAGGAUUAGAUACCCUGGUAGUCCACGCCGUAAACGAUGAGUGCUAAGUGUUGGAGGGUUUCCGCCCUUCAGUGCUGCAGCUAACGCAUUAAGCACUCCGCCUGGGGAGUACGACCGCAAGGUUGAAACUCAAAGGAAUUGACGGGGGCCCGCACAAGCGGUGGAGCAUGUGGUUUAAUUCGAAGCAACGCGAAGAACCUUACCAGGUCUUGACAUCCUUUGACCACUCUAGAGAUAGAGCUUCCCCUUCGGGGGCAAAGUGACAGGUGGUGCAUGGUUGUCGUCAGCUCGUGUCGUGAGAUGUUGGGUUAAGUCCCGCAACGAGCGCAACCCUUAUUGUUAGUUGCCAUCAUUCAGUUGGGGACUCUAGCAAGACUGCCGGUGACAAACCGGAGGAAAGGUGGGGGAGGAAAGCCAAAACUUCUUGGCCCCUUAUAAACUGGG
rnacentral:rRNA from 1 species